rnacentral:rRNA from 1 species
GGGGGUAGAGCACUGUUUCGGCUAGGGGGUCAUCCCGACUUACCAAACCGAUGCAAACUCCGAAUACCAGUGAGUACUAUCCGGGAGACACACGGCGGGUGCUAACGUCCGUCGUGGAGAGGGAAACAACCCUGACCUCCGGCUAAGGCCCCCAAUUCAUGGCUAAGUGGGAAAGCAGGUGAGACGACCAAAACAACCAGGAGGUUGGCUUAGAAGCAGCCAUCCUUUAAAGAGUGCGUAACAGCUCACUGGUCGAGCGUCUUUGCGCCGAAAAUGGACGGGACUAAGGAUUCUGCCGAAGCUGUGAAAGAAUACCAUAUUCUUGGUAGGGGAGCGUUCUGCUAUAGGGUGAAG